AUACGUAGGGAGCGAGCGUUGUCCGGAAUUACUGGGCGUAAAGGGCGCGUAGGCGGCGCUUCAAGUCGUCUGUCAAAUGGGAGGGCUUAACCCUUUUUCGCAGACGAAACUGGAGAGCUUGAGAAGCAGAGAGGUAAACAGAAUUCCUGGUGUAGCGGUGAAAUGCGUAGAUAUCAGGAAGAAUACCAGUGGCGAAGGCGGUUUGCUGGCUGCAUACUGACGCUGAAGCGCGAAAGCCAGGGGAGCAAACGGGAUUAGAUACCCCGGUAGUCCUGGCAGUAAACGAUGUAUGCUGGGUGUGAGACUAGCGAUAGUUUCGUGCCGAAGUUAACGCGAUAAGCAUACCGCCUGGGGAGUACGGUCGCAAGAUUGAAACUCAAAUGAAUUGACGGGG
rnacentral:rRNA from 1 species